GAUCCUGGCUUAGGAUGAACGCUGGCGGCGUGCCUAAUACAUGCAAGUCGAGCGAGGUAGCUUGCUACCUAGCGGCGAACGGGUGAGUAACACGUAGGUAACCUGCCUUUGAGACUGGGAUACCCGAGGGAAACUUCGGCUAAUACCGGAUAACAACGGGGAUGGCAUCAUCUCCGCUUGAAAGGUGCGUUUGCACCACUCUUAGAUGGACCUGCGGCACAUUAGCUAGUUGGUGAGAUAACGGCCCACCAAGUCGACGAUCGGUAGCCGACCUGAGAGGGUGAUCGGCCACAUUGGGACUGAGACACGGCCCAAACUCCUACGGGAGGCAGCAGUGGGGAAUAUUGGGCAAUGGGGGGAAACCCUGACCCAGCAACGCCGCGUGAGGGAAGAAGGUUUUCGGAUCGUAAACCUCUGUCCUUGGUGAAGAGUUUGAGACGGUAGCCAAGGAGGAAGCCCCGGCUAACUACGUGCCAGCCGCCGC
rnacentral:rRNA from 1 species